GACGUAGGGCGCAAGCGUUGUCCGGAAUUAUUGGGCGUAAAGAGCUCGUAGGCGGCUUGUUGCGUCGACUGUGAAAAACCACGACUCAACCGUGGGACUGCAGUCGAUACGGGCAGGCUAGAGUUCGGUAGGGGAGACUGGAAUUCCUGGUGUAGCGGUGAAAUGCGCAGAUAUCAGGAGGAACACCAGUGGCGAAGGCGGCUCUCUGGGCCUUUCCUGACGCUGAGACGCGAAAGCGUGGGGAGCGAACCGG
rnacentral:rRNA from 1 species